rnacentral:rRNA from 1 species
UACGUAGGGUGCAAGCGUUAAUCGGAAUUACUGGGCGUAAAGCGUGCGCAGGCGGUUGUGUAAGGCAGAUGUGAAAUCCCCGGGCUCAACCUGGGAAUUGCAUUUGAGACUGCACGGCUAGAGUGUGUCAGAGGGGGGUAGAAUUCCACGUGUAGCAGUGAAAUGCGUAGAGAUGUGGAGGAAUACCGAUGGCGAAGGCAGCCCCCUGGGAUAACACUGACGCUCAUGCACGAAAGCGUGGGGAGCAAACAGG